rnacentral:rRNA from 1 species
UACGGGGGGGGCAAGCGUUGUUCGGAAUUACUGGGCGUAAAGGGCGCGUAGGCGGCCUACUAAGUCGGACGUGAAAUCCCUCGGCUCAACCGAGGAACUGCGUCCGAUACUGGUGGGCUUGAAUCCGGGAGAGGGAUGCAGAAUUCCAGGUGUAGCGGUGAAAUGCGUAGAUAUCUGGAGGAAUACCGGUGGCGAAGGCGGCAUCCUGGACCGGCAUUGACGCUGAGGAGCGAAAGCCAGGGGAGCAAACGGG